rnacentral:misc_RNA from 1 species
CAAGGUUUCUUGGUGCAUCGCCUGCGAGGGCGCUCUCCCGAGGAUUCCCACCCGUGUCUACAUACUCUUGUUGCUUUGGCGGGCCGUGGCCCUCCACUGCGGGCUCUGUAGCUCGUACGUGCCCGCCAGAGGAUCAAACUCUGAAUGUUUAGUGAUGUCUGAGUACUAUAUAAUAGUUA